GUGACAAGGCCAAGCCAGAGAGAGGAGGGGGUGGUGCUGACUCAUCGAAGGGGCUUUUGCAGCCACAUCACUAUCCAUGCCGCAGGGCAUGGCGCCGCAGUGGGAACUGGGGCAAGGAAAGGACCAGAUGGGGUGACUGCCAGCCUCUGGCUUGAUCUGGCUUCUUUCUUCUCUUGUGUAAGUGUCCAGUUCUCAGCAUAAGAGCCAGGCUUCCGGAAAAAAGGAUCAUGAAAUAUGCCCAAGUCUCUAGUGUAUUCAGCUGGCGCAAAUGGUGAAGGAAGGAGCUGGGUGGAGUCACAAAGAUGCACACACGCGCAGUCCUCUUUCUGUCUCUGUAUCAGCACCCGAGCUCCUAGUACGAGGCUCCAGACGGCUGCUCCGUGUAGGAAACCGUCCCCCAGCCCGUCUCCUUGCAUGCGGGGUACAGUUCAAAGUAGCGCCCCCAUUCUGCCCGCCAGUAGGCGGCUGCCCCCGGGAGCACUGAUCACCAUCCGAAAUGAAGUCCUCUGGGCUCCUGCAAGCUCGGAGAAGGCACCUGGCUCCUUCCAUCUGCUCCCCGCCUGCACCGUGCAUACCGGCGAAAACACACCGAAGAAUCCGAAGAAUCCAAGGAUUCGGAAGGUGCAUAUCUUUGAGACAUUUUGGGCAAUUUAAGCCUUUUGUUUGUAUUCAUGACUCCUUUUGGUGUUUGGUUUUGUUGUUUAAUGUAUUCUUCUUUAAACAC